CGCGUCUGUUGUCGCAGCCGUGC
rnacentral:miRNA from 1 species